CUCGGCGAGGAAGCCUGCAUCAGUGGCCUUCAUCGAGGCCAAGAACUCAUGGAGCUUCAGAUCUCCAUCAGACCUAUCUGUAAGGGAAUACGGUUAGUCCAAAGUCAUUUUUUUGGCUUUUCCAUCCGCUGUUGACAUAGCUAUAGGCUUUCGAUCUCUGUUUAACUCCGAUGUUAGUGCUGCUGGGAUUGUCCUUGGUGGGGUGGCGAUAAUGCCUUCAGGUCCACUCACGCCUGGCUGCUGCUGCACGUUCAAGGAUGAGCAGUCCCGUCGCCGGCAUCACAGGACAAGUGGCAGCCUAGAAGCAGUUUCUAUCACAGACGACGGGCUCAGAUUCAUGUGCAUAGAAAAAACAUUAUGCACGCCAUGGAUGCAUGUUAAUGUAUUUAUAGGCUAUACCGUCGUGUGUUGGAUGCGGUACUUUUUACAUGUCGGGGUAGUACUAAUAAGUCUCUAAUUAGUCCAGCAAUUCAGCGUGCAUGCGUAGUGUGUUGUAUCUAGCAAGAACCGAUCAGUCUGAUGGUUAGCUUUCUAACUAUUGUGUACGUUGAUUCAUUGUUAAUCAAUUAAUACAGAUGGAGUUUCCUUUGUGCAGGAUCAUGUCAAAGAGGAAUUGCCAUCCUUUGUCGUCAUCAUGGUCGCCCCAUGCCGAAAAGUACUCGCGUAGGAAUGGGGCCAAGUCGGCGAAUCGUCAUCAGCGAGCUAGAACGUUCGAUGGGUUCACUCACAUAUAUUUUCUCAAAAGAUAAGGGAUAUAAAAUAUAGAAUCUUCCAACUUUCGGAGACAAUGUGUCUUUGAAGGGGAAAGUCUAAACGUUGGACAAAGCAUAUUGGACUACAAAGUUAUCCAAGCAGCAAGAGGAAGUAGCAAGAUCCAAAGAACUAGCUGGACUAGACUCUACAUCAUGAACAGUUUAGUCUUCGUAGUUAAUUAGGAUGGCUAAAUUACAUUUGAGUUUCAUUUGAUGGAUGUUUGCUAUGAGAAAUUAUGAAUUUUAUGAAUCUACAUAUCAUACAUAUGGUUUUGAAUAUUGUCACAAUAUUUUCUCGCUACAAAGAUUUUACCUGUUGUGAUACCUAUUUAUCACCACCAA